AAGUCGUAACAAGGUCUCCGUUGGUGAACCAGCGGAAGGAUCAUUAUUGAAAUAAACCUGAUGGGUUGUUGCUGGUUCUCUAGGGAACAUGUGCACGCCUUGUCAUCUUUAUAUCUCCACCUGUGCACUUUUUGUAGACCUUUCCAGGUCUAUGUUGCUUCAUUUUACCCCAACUGUAUGUCAUUAGAAUGUUGUGCCAAUAUAAUUUAUACAACUUUCAGCAACGGAUCUCUUGGCUCUC
rnacentral:misc_RNA from 1 species